GGCCUAACACAUGCAAGUCGAACGGUAACAGGAAACAGCUUGCUGUUUCGCCGACGAGUGGCGGACGGGUGAGUAAUGUCUGGGAAACUGCCUGAUGGAGGGGGAUAACUACUGGAAACGGUAGCUAAUACCGCAUAACGUCGCAAGACCAAAGAGGGGGACCUUCGGGCCUCUUGCCAUCGGAUGUGCCCAGAUGGGAUUAGCUAGUAGGUGGGGUAACGGCUCACCUAGGCGACGAUCCCUAGCUGGUCUGAGAGGAUGACCAGCCACACUGGAACUGAGACACGGUCCAGACUCCUACGGGAGGCAGCAGUGGGGAAUAUUGCACAAUGGGCGCAAGCCUGAUGCAGCCAUGCCGCGUGUAUGAAGAAGGCCUUCGGGUUGUAAAGUACUUUCAGCGGGGAGGAAGGGAGUAAAGUUAAUACCUUUGCUCAUUGACGUUACCCGCAGAAGAAGCACCGGCUAACUCCGUGCCAGCAGCCGCGGUAAUACGGAGGGUGCAAGCGUUAAUCGGAAUUACUGGGCGUAAAGCGCACGCAGGCGGUUUGUUAAGUCAGAUGUGAAAUCCCCGGGCUCAACCUGGGAACUGCAUCUGAUACUGGCAAGCUUGAGUCUCGUAGAGGGGGGUAGAAUUCCAGGUGUAGCGGUGAAAUGCGUAGAGAUCUGGAGGAAUACCGGUGGCGAAGGCGGCCCCCUGGAC
rnacentral:rRNA from 1 species